GCCAUGCCAUCAGCUUGUGGGCGGGCCUAGCCUACUCCUGGUUGCUUGGCAACAGUAAACAGAAAUUCUCUGGUGCUACCUUCAAGCAUGUCUUACAA